GGGGCUGUAGCUCAGCUGGGAGAGCGCCUCCAUGGCAUGGAGGAGGUCGCGGGUCCGAUCCCCGUCAGCUCCA
rnacentral:tRNA from 1 species